UGAGCAAUCUGCCCUUCUCUUCGGAAUAAGCGUUGGAAACGACGUCUAAUGCCGAAUACGACCUCCUUUCGCAUGAUCGGAGGUGGAAAGC
rnacentral:rRNA from 1 species